rnacentral:rRNA from 1 species
UACGUAGGGGGCAAGCGUUGUCCGGAUUUAUUGGGCGUAAAGCGCGCGUAGGCGGCUUUGUAAGUUAGAGGUGAAAGCCCGGGGCUCAACCCCGGAACUGCCUUUAAGACUGCAUCGCUUGAAUCCGGGAGAGGUGAGUGGAAUUCCGAGUGUAGAGGUGAAAUUCGUAGAUAUUCGGAAGAACACCAGUGGCGAAGGCGGCUCACUGGACCGGUAUUGACGCUGAGGUGCGAAAGCGUGGGGAGCAAACAGG